UUCUCAAUCCCCACCUCCACCCGCAGCUCCGCCACCGAGUCAUCCUUCUUCCUCCAGUUUUUGGAUGAUCACAACAAAGACCCCCAAUCCCUCCCCGCAUCGGCCACCACUCUUGCGAACUGGACCCUCAGCAGGUGGGCGUGUAUUUUCUCCGAGUGAAGGUGGGACGCUCCACUCUGCCCUUGUCUCCUCAGGACGCACUAGCUUGCUGGGUUUGUUUGGUUCCUAAGGUACUCUCCUCACCAGCUCCUGAGUAACUGCGGGGAUGCAAAGCUGGCGAGGAACGCGCUUAGCAAAUGUAUUCGCGCAGCCGUGUGGGCUCCAUCUCUCCUGAUGGAGUCAACAGGCCUUCACGGAAUCGACCCACUGGUCAAAGUAUGGGAGACCCUCGAGGGGGUACUGGGGACUCAUACCCAGCUGGCUGGCACCUCAGCAGGUUUGUUAUGACAGUGAGUGCCCACAUGUGGUACCUGCUGGCCACCAGUCUUCUGUCAUCCAUCCUGGUAUGGCCUCUGCCUCCUACGGCCCCCCCCCCAAGAGGACAUGAAAGCUGAAGUCCUGGCCUCACGUGCUCCAGACCCAAGCCAGGGCUGACUGCUGACAAGACAUGAGGCAGUGAGAGAGCAUUUUAUGAAGAGAAGAAACUGAGGACAAAAAGGCACUGCUUUGUACUAUCACACUGUCCACAAAGGCUUGGCGGCCCCUCGGACAAGGAUGCUCGAAGAUCAUAGAAGCCAAUGGGUUCUAUCAUGUUGCAACAAGUCACUGUGGAACUGGCUGGCUCCUCAUGCCUAAAACCUUAGCUUUCCCAAGUGUCUUCGUUUGAAUAUGUUUGGCCCAGGGCGUGGCAUUCUUUGGAGGUGUGGCCUUGUCGGAGUGGGUGUGUCACUGUGGGUGU
rnacentral:sRNA from 1 species